rnacentral:tRNA from 1 species
GGGUAUAUAGUUCAGUGGUAGAGUGCAUGCUUAGCAUGCAUGAGGCCCUGUGUUCAAUCCCCAGUACCUCCG